UUCUCUUAAAAUGAGCCUCCUGCAGACCCUGUUAUGCUGCAUCUCACUGGGCAUCUCAUAUGCUCAAUCACAGACACCAGUGCUGACACCUCAGGUUGGGUCAGUUAAUCCUGGGCAAAGUUUUACAUUUAACUGCAAUGUAGGAGUUAAGGAUGGUUGGAGCAUGGCUUUCUAUAAACAAUCACCUGGGGAGCCUCCUAAACUUAUUUUUUAUAACCAUCACUCAUACUCAUCACCCAGCUAUGGACCUGGGAUGUUAUCAGCUCAUUUCACUGGCACAAUAAACAGCGCUGGAACUGAAUAUCAGCUGAUUAUUAAAGAUACACAGAUUGCAGACACAUCUCUUUAUUACUGUGUUAAAGCUUAUCAAAGUACUGGUACAUAUCACAGUGAUACAGAGCCUGACAAAAACCUCAAGGAUAAAGUACAUAAAACAGGAAAUAGAUUUUGA